rnacentral:rRNA from 1 species
AGAGUUUGAUCCUGGCUCAGAAUCAACGCUGGCGGCGCGCUUAACACAUGCAAGUCGCACGAGAAAGGGGAGCAAUCCCUGAGUACAGUGGCGCACGGGUGAGUAACACGUGGGUAACCCACCCUUGGCACCGGGAUAGCCCGGGGAAACCCGGAUUAAUACCGGAUGGCCCGACAGCCCCUCGGGGCGGCCGGGAAAGGUAGCUUCGGCCUCCGGCCAAGGACGGGCCCGCGGCGGAUUAGCUUGUUGGUGAGGUAACGGCUCACCAAGGCGACGAUCCGUAGCUGGUCUGAGAGGACGAUCAGCCACACUGGGACUGAGACACGGCCCAGACUCCUACGGGAGGCAGCAGUAGGGAAUAUUGCGCAAUGGGCGAAAGCCUGACGCAGCAACACCGCGUGGAGGAUGACGUUUCUAGGAACGUAAACUCCUGUCGGCAGGGAAUAAUUUUGACUGUACCUGCAAAGGAAGGACCGGCUAACUACGUGCCAGCAGCCGCGGUAAUAC